rnacentral:pre_miRNA from 1 species
CUUUCAAUAUGCCUGGCUCCCUGUAUGCCAUUUGUAGAGCGCUCACCGUCAUUCCCGAUGGCCUCCGCGCAUGGCGUAUGAGGAGCCAAGCAUAUCCAUAUC